rnacentral:rRNA from 1 species
GACGAACGCUGGCGGCGUGCUUAACACAUGCAAGUCGAACGGAAAGGCUCCAGCUUGCUGGAGUACUCGAGUGGCGAACGGGUGAGUAACACGUGGGUGAUCUGCCCUGCACUUCGGGAUAAGCCUGGGAAACUGGGUCUAAUACCGGAUAGGACCGCACUUUGGUGUGUGUGGUGGAAAGGUUUUUCUGGUGUGGGAUGAGCUCGCGGCCUAUCAGUUUGUUGGUGGGGUAAUGGCCUACCAAGACGGCGACGGGUAGCCGGCCUGAGAGGGUGGACGGUCACCUUGGGACUGAGAUAAGGCCCAGACUCCUACGGGAGGCAGCAGUGGGGAAUAUUGCACAAUGGGGGAAACCCUGAUGCAGCGACGCCGCGUGGGGGAUGAAGGCCUUCGGGUUGUAAACUCCUUUCGCUAGGGACGAAGCUUUUUGUGACGGUACCUGGAGAAGAAGCACCGGCUAACUACGUG